CACGGUUGCUGCUAUGUGAGUGACAGGCACCAUGUAAUUGAUGGACAGACCAGAAAUUAAAGCCUGCUUUGAAAUGGAAACCCAAACGUCAGGUUCAGUGCUUGCUCAGAAAGAAAGCACCAAAAACACACAGCCACAACUGGACUCCUGGUGAGGCAGGUCUAAAAUGGAUUUAUAAUCAGAGAGCCUCUGUGUUGCCUGUUCUGAUCGACAAAGCCAUCUAAUUUUUUGUUCAAAUGACCUGUGGAACUUCUGGAUACCAAUCCUUUGAAGAUUCAAAGGGACCUCGCACAGCCUUGCACUCAUAAGUGCUCGAGAAAUAUCCUUCCCUUGAUGGAGACAGUAAAGGACUCUCCCGUAUGGCCUUCUACUCGUGCUUCUCAUUCCACAUGCCACACGAAGCCCAGGACGGAACUUGGGGAUGUGUGAGAGAGAAGACAUGAAAAAGGGACUGGUCCCUUGAGGAGGGAGUUGAUUCCGGCCAGUGGACACCAGACAGAACCAAAUCUGGGAAGUCAUAACCUAUCCCAAGUCACUCGAAACAGCCGGCUCUGAUUUCAACGGUGAUGCGAUGCCUGUGGCUCUACGUGGAAACAGCCUCAGGGGCUCUAGGUGCUGGUGGCCCUUAAUUGCACUUGAACUACGUGAUGGCACCAUGAGGGCCGCUGUCGCCCUUGGCUUGUGCGUGGUUCUAGGUGGCACCAGCAUCGUGGUGGAGAGUCUAGAGCUCUGCAUUUCCAUGGGAUCAAACCAGCUCUGGCCGGUUCAAACUAGCUGUGAAUGAUUUAAACUAGACAAAAGUGCUUCUUCAGGGAUCAUAUAGGCUCGCUGCUUUUAAAUCUUGAUAAGGCAGAUUCAAACAGGUUAUGACUGGUUUGCACUGAGUUACCCUUGCACCGACUUGGUUCAGACUAGCCAGGGUAGAUCUGAUCAAAUGGCUCGUUUUAGGUGAAGCAAGCCAGUUCAAUCUAGCUUGAACAGGAUCAACCGGUUCGAAUGCAAUGACAGCUAGUUGGAACCACACUGUAUCACAGACGUUUUAGUCACUGGUCUCUAACUGUACAAGGAAAUACGGUGAUACAGCUCUCACAUAUUAUACUGGAAAUAUAAUACUUACAAUGUUAUCCUUUCUCACCUUUUCAACUUUUCAAAGCUUAUCACUUUUUCCUCAAGACUGGCCAUUAAGAACAACCAAAUUAUGUAGCAUUUAUACAUCAGGACUCCAGCAUACUUUGGAAAUCUUUUUUCUGUUUAGAACUGUUGGCAGGUACGUGUAUACGUGUAUAAGCACUGCCUGCCACAUCACCUCAAUCUCCUCUCCUCUAAGCUCGGGUCGUGAGGUGUGGGGUGAGCACUACGGCCGGCUCAGGCGCCCACAUCUGCCCGCCGCCCCCCUCGGAGCACACGGCGCCCCCUCACCUUGAUCCUGCUGACUGCUUCCUGGGC